AACGAACGCUGGCGGCAGGCCUAACACAUGCAAGUCGAACGGACCUUUCGGGGUUAGUGGCGGACGGGUGAGUAACACGUGGGAACGUGCCUUUAGGUUCGGAAUAGCUCCUGGAAACGGGUGGUAAUGCCGAAUGUGCCCUUAGGGGGAAAGAUUUAUCGCCUUUAGAGCGGCCCGCGUCUGAUUAGCUAGUUGGUGAGGUAAUGGCUCACCAAGGCUACGAUCAGUAGCUGGUCUGAGAGGAUGACCAGCCACAUUGGGACGGAGACACGGCCCAAACUCCUACGGGAGGCAGCAGUGGGGAAUCGUGCGCAAUGGGGGAAAGCCUGACGCAGCCAUGCCGCGUGGAUGAUGAAGGUCUUAGGAUUGUAAAAUCCUUUCACCGGUGAAGAUAAUGACUGUAGCCGGAGAAGAAGCCCCGGCCAACUACGUGCCAGCAGCCGCAGUAA
rnacentral:rRNA from 1 species